rnacentral:lncRNA from 1 species
AAAAGUGACUCAAAGUGCUUAAUGACUAGAAGAAAUCUAGGAGCAGCAAGAAGGUAAUGUGGAGGGAGGGACCUCCAUGACCGGUGUCUGCAGAGCCAGGGGUACAGGCACCCAGUGCUGUGGCCUGGCACCACCUGCAUCUCAGAGGGUGGGUGGCACACUCCUUACCCAGAGGACAGCAGGCCUGGUCACCAGCUUUUCUACCUGUCCCUGUAAGCAUCACAUUGCUGGAGGAAAAUCUCAUGCCAGAGCUUGGACCAUCCCUAGCUCAGGGGUUAGGGGUUGUCCCUUGGUGACCUAAAUGAAAAAACAGGUCCAGAACAGAGUUCCUGAUGCUGGACACUCAUUCAGUCUUUGAAUCGUGGGAGGGGAGGCCUGGUACUAGGUAGACCUAACCUCUUUGAGGAACCACAGAGCCCAAGGCUGGAAACCUCCAGAAUCCUCCACCCCCUGAUCCUCCCUGGGGACCCCUGUGGCCUGUCUCACUGAGCACUCUUCCAUCUGUAGAUGUCUGGGCUGCUGUACAAGGGAGUCCCCUUUCAGGUGUGGUGCUAGACAUGGUCACUCCUGCUGGAUGUCUAGGUGGUAGAAACCAAGGACCUAGGGAAAUACCAGGUACAGCCUUUCCAUGCUCAUCCAGAGCAGGACAAACAGGCCAGGCGGUGUCAGGAGCCCAGGUCUCCAGCUGGAGGGAACGUCAACCCUUCGGUGGGAGCAGGGGCCCUUUGCACAUCCUAGGCACAGAUGGUAAUGUAGACACCGCAGGUAAGCUGGGCUUGGUACCUACCCCUCCCCGGAUUCAGAAAGAAACCAAACAAGGAGCUUUGUGCGGAAUGAAACCUCCUUUCCUCCCAGAAGCACUGCUGACUGUUUGGUGGUUGCCAUUUGUGGCAGUGAGCCUUUGUUUGUUCUGAGGUUGGGCUGGUUUCUCCUCUUGGCCCUGCCCUACAGAUCAUAAAGGAGAAGAGCAAGAGGUCCCCAGCAAACAUCCACAGAUGGCCUUGGAAAUAAGUCACCUUCCUCACCCUGCAGGAAUGCCAGUGAACUUAUUGCUGACAUCUUGGAGCUCAGUACCCUCAUAGUGUAACGGCGUCAGCAGAUCUGCCUGUGCUGGGACUUCCUGUACUACCCAUUCCUGAGGGGCGAUGCUUCUGCAGGGCCUGUGACUUGGUGCACAACUUCAGACACCAUCAUCUUGCAGCAGCACCGCACCCUCACUAGCCAGGGUGUUGAUGACUUCCUCAAGGCCAAGGCCACAUUCAAGGCUUCGGACUUCAUUGAUGCGCUUGUGCUGAGCAAGCCUCAGUGUAUGGGCGCUGUUCAUCCUCUGGUGCUGAAGCAGCCAAGAGACCCAAGUCUGCCUGGCUGCCUCUUAGGAUAUGACAGCAGAGCCAGUGGCCUCUACUAGAUCCUGUACAACCUCACAAAACACCCAGACAUCGGGAGUGCUGCCAGCCUGUGAUGCAAGAGUCCUAAUCCUGAAGACAUUGAAUGACCUGUCAUUCUGCUGUUUUUACCAAAAAGGAUCAUGAGGAUCAGAGAGGAAAAGUCAUUUGCCCAAAGUCACACAGCUGAACAGUGGUGGAGUUCAACUUUGACCGUGGGCUGUCUGGCCCCAAGGUGUAUGCUUGCUUCUCUCCCAAGAGACAACUUUCUUAUCAGGCUCAAAUGAAUGAAAGGAGGAUGUUAAAGUUCCUAGAAGCUUUAAUUGAAUGAAAGUUCCUAGUAGAUCUGUACCUACUAAAAACCACACUUCUGAAGCUACGUGGCCACCAGAAGACACAGCUAGUCUGCCAUGUAAAAAAGGAAAGGUGGCGUGUGCCCUGAAGGUGCAGGGGUGAGAGGCAGGGAAAUGGAGACCCCAACAGCCAGCAGCAGUGGCCCUCAUCACAGCCCUCCAGGAGAUAUCAAAGGAGGUCAGACCUUGGACAGUAGUCUUGACUUCCUGCUAUAGAACACAUUGUUAACACUGAAAAAGAUGAUCUGUUCUAGGGGAAUGGUGAAAGCUGACUCUAGCACUUGUACUUUUUGUUUGUUUGUUUGAGAUUGAGUCUUGCUCUUGUUUCCCAGGCUACAGUGCAAUGCGUGAUCUCAGCUCACUGCAGGCUCUGCCUCCUGGGUUCCAGCUAUUGUCCUGCCUCAGCCUCCCGAGUAGCUGGGAUUCCAGGUGCCCGCAAGUGUGCCUGGCUAAUUUUUAUGUUUUUAGUAGAGAUGGGAUUUCGCCAUGUUGGCCAGGCUGUUCUCCAACUCCUGACCUUGGCCAAAGUGUUGGGAUUACAGGCAUAAGCCAUUGUGCCCGGCCUGUGUUUUUAAUUUCAUAGUGGCACAGCUUCAAAAUGACAUCUAAGUAGCUGACAUAAAAAUGAAAAUUCUGUGUACUUUGAUAUUAGCAGGCUUCAAAUACAAACCAGA